rnacentral:tRNA from 1 species
GGCCUGCUAGCUCAGUCGGUUAGACCGUCGUGCUAAUAACGCGAAGGUCGUAGGUUCGAUCGCUGCGCAGGCCA